UGGGGCUGUAGCGCAGUCCGGUAGCGCACCUCGUUCGCAUCGAGGGGGUCAGGGGUUCAAAUCCCCUCAGCUCCACCCA
rnacentral:tRNA from 1 species